rnacentral:rRNA from 1 species
CAUGUAGGCGGCAUGACAAGUCUGGUGUGAAAUAUCUCGGCUCAACCGAGAAAACGCACUGGAAACUGUCAAGCUUGAGUAUCGGAGGGGAAGCUAGGAUUCCUGGUGUAGGGGUGAAAUCUGUAGAUAUCAGGAAGAAUACCGGUGGCGAAGGCGAGCUUCUGGCCAGAUACUGACGCUGAGAUGCGAAAGCGUGGGGAGCGAACAGGAUUAGAUACCCUGGUAGUC